AACCAUAGAAACCUGCGGAGUACCUGCGGAGGGAUCAUUACUGAGUGCGGGUUCCAAUGAGCCCAACCUCCCACCCGUGUUUACCGUAACCGCGUUGCCUCGGCGGGCCCACUGGGGCCUGUCCCCGGUCGCCGGGGGGCAUCUGCCCCCGGGCCCGCGCCCGCCGAAGCGCCCUAGAACCCUGCCUGAACAGUGAGUCUGAGUGAGUGAUUGAAUCAUUAAAACUUUUAACAACGGAUC
rnacentral:misc_RNA from 1 species